CGGCACGCCAAUGGAUUGAGACCGGCAGGGGAGAUCUCUGGAUCUCCCCGGUCGGCUCAUGCAGAGCCGACACUAUCCGAGCGGCGGCUCUGGUCUAAGCCUCCAUGGGCCGGUGGGGAGAUCAAAGUUCUACCUCACCGUUCCACAGCAGCAUGGAGGGAGGCAGCAGAGAACCCGGGCUAGAAUUCACUCUCCACUGAACCACCAGGGAAGGCAGCAGGACUGGGAUAUUAACUAGUCUGCCCCCACCUCCGCCCAAACAUACAGCACACACACAUACAGCACACACAGCCCACAAACAGCACCCACACACACACACAUCACCCUCGCACACACAGCACCCACACACAUACAACACCCACACACACCCAGCACACUAACAGCAUCCUCUCAAACACACAAAACCCACACAGCACUCACACACAAACAGCACACUCUCAUACAAACAGCACCCUGACAAACACACAACCCCCGCACACA